AUACGGAGGGUGCAAGCGUUGUUCGGAUUCACUGGGUAUAAAGGGUGCGUAGGCGGUCUGAUAAGUCAGAGGUGAAAUAUGUCGGCUCAACCGGCAAACGGCCCCUGAAACUGUCAGACUUGAGUCCGGGAGAGGUAGGUGGAAUUCCAGGUGUAGCGGUGAAAUGCGUAAAUAUCUGGAGGAACACCGGUGGCGAAGGCGGCCUACUGGCCCGGAACUGACGCUCAGGCACGAAAGCAUGGGGAGCGAACGGGAUUAGAUACCCCUGUAGUCC
rnacentral:rRNA from 1 species